rnacentral:rRNA from 1 species
AGAGUUUGAUCCUGGCUCAGGGUGAACGUUGGCGGUGCGUCUAAUACAUGCAAGUCGAGCGAGGCUUCGAGCCGAGCGGCGGACGGCUGAGUAACACGUUGGUAACUACCCCCCACUCAGGGAUAAGCGCGAGAAAUUGCGUCUAAUACCGGAUAGUCCCGCAAGGGUAAAGAUUUUUCGGUGGGGGAGGUGCCUGCGGCCUAUCAGCUUGUUGGUGAGGUAAUAGCUCACCAAGGCUAUGACGGGUAGCUGGUCUGAGAGGAUGAUCAGCCAGAGGGAGACUGAGACACGGCUCCCACUCCUACGGGAGGCAGCAGUAAAGAAUCUUCCACAAUGGACGAAAGUCUGAUGGAGCGACACCGCGUGCAGGAUGACGGCCCUUGGGUUGUAAACUGCUUUUCUGGGGGAAUAAUUAUGAAGGUACCCUAGGAAUAAGCACCGGCUAAUCACGUGCCAGCAGCCGCGGUAAUACGUGAGGUGCAAACGUUACCCGGAAUCAUUGGGCGUAAAGCGUCCGCAGGCUGCGUAGCAAGUCAGAUGUUAAAUCUUGAGGCUCAACUUCAAGCUUGUGUCUGAAACUGCUAUGCUAGAGAAUUGGAGAGGCGAGUGGAAUUCUAUAUGUAGGGGUAAAAUCCGUAGAUAUAUAGAGGAACACCAAAAGCGAAGGCAGCUCGCUGGCCAAUUUCUGACGCUCAUGGACGAAAGCGUGGGGAGCAAACGGGAUUAGAUACCCCGGUAGUCCACGCCGUAAACGAUGAUCACUCGAUGUUGGGAGUUCGACCCUCUCAGUGUCUAAGCUAACGCGAUAAGUGAUCCGCCUGGGGAGUACGGCCGCAAGGCUAAAACUCAAAGGAAUAGACGGGGACCCACACAAGCGGUGGAGCGUGUGGUUUAAUUCGAUAAUAAGCGAGGAACCUUACCAAGACUUGACAUCUUCUGAAUACACCCGAAAGGGAGUAGUGCCGUAAGGAACAGAAUGACAGGUGUUGCAUGGUUGCCGUCAGCUCGUGCCUUGAGGUGUUCGGUUAAGUCCGUAAACGAGCGCAACCCUCGUCCUUAGUUGUAUUUUUCUAAGGAGACUGCCUGGCAUAACCAGGAGGAAGGUGAGGAUGACGUCAAAUCAGCAUGGCCCUUAUGUCUUGGGCGACACACGCGCUACAAUGGCCAGUACAGCGGGCAGCCAAGGAGUAAUCCGGAGCGAAUCCCACAAAACUGGUCUAAGUUCGGAUUGAGGGCUGCAACUCGCCCUCAUGAAGUUGGAAUCGCUAGUAAUCGCAUAUCAGCCACGGUGCGAUGAAUAUGUUCCUGGGUCUUGUACUCACCGCCCGUCAAGUCACGGAAGAAGGGGGCGCCCGAAGUCCCUACUAAGUAGGGCCUAAGGCGAAAUCUUUGACUGGGACUAAGUCGUAACAAGGUAUCCGUACGAGAACGUGCGGAUG